rnacentral:RNase_P_RNA from 2 species
ACUUUCGCUGGGUCAGCAACCCAGCCAGACGUACUGCGUAAAACUGGACGCUGGAUAUGCGGGUGGGAAAUUCGGUGCAGUAAUUAUGCCACAAAGCAACUGCAAUUCCGCCGUGACGUUACGUGAGUAUCGUGCUGUAUGUGGGUGCAGGUCGGGUAUGGUAUUCUUGCCGACCCGAAUGACGGAUGCACGCCGUUGCAUGACAUUUGGACCAGAUUGAUGUCUGUCUGUUUGUGUGUGACUUCGGCUGGGUCCGUCAUUGCUUCUGUUGCCUACCGUAAUCCGCUCUGACACGGGUCGGUUCAUCUGACCCAGUCUGCCCGAGUAUUUGCGAGGGCCUGGCGCGGAAGCGUCUGCGGAGUCAGCAGCAACUUCGUGCUGUUCCGGGUCUGGUCAGACCCGGAACAGCACAUGGGAGCGGCUCUGCUGCGAGCGGGCGUGUCGCUGGAGCGGACAGCGACGCGGGUAAGACCGGCUUGUCGCACUCGACGACUCAUUGAAGCCUCCCAAGCUCAAUGAGAACCGAUCCACCGGGGUCCAUAGACCCGGGUGCGACGUAGAUGGCCGGGGCUGUCAACCUUGGAAUACGGGUCAGGCCUUGGAAGAGUGACCGGAAAUUUGGGCGCGCCAAAUCCGGGUCUGCAAAUCUCUCCAGUCAUAUUGUGCCAGGCUGACUUGUUCGUGCCUGGUUGUAGUGCAAUUCGCGAUCAGUCGCAAGACUGAACCCGAUACCGAUUAUUAAGGAAAGGU